rnacentral:rRNA from 1 species
UACGUAGGGGGCAAGCGUUAUCCGGAUUUACUGGGUGUAAAGGGAGCGUAGACGGAGCAGCAAGUCUGAUGUGAAAACCCGGGGCUCAACCCCGGGACUGCAUUGGAAACUGUUGAUCUGGAGUGCCGGAGAGGUAAGCGGAAUUCCUAGUGUAGCGGUGAAAUGCGUAGAUAUUAGGAGGAACACCAGUGGCGAAGGCAGCUUACUGGACGGUAACUGACGUUGAGGCUCGAAAGCGUGGGGAGCAAACAGG